UUUACUAGAGAUGCUUCCGAUCGUUAAAUGGUGGCUUCUGCUUUUGGCUGCGUUGAUGUCGCGGAUAUUUUGACGCCGAAAAUUGCAUGCUUGAAGCUUUAUAUAUAUUUAUUUUGAGCUUUAAACGCCAUCCACAUACAUGGGAAAAGCUGCGACUGUAAAGUAUCUGUUAGACUGGUGUAUUUUUGGGAGAUAUUCGCGCUUGUAGCAGGUUCGGGCGCGGCUCAGGUAGAAGAAACCAAUUAUGCAGCGGGCUGUAACUAAUCGCCGUUUAUAAUUAUAUCUGGACUUAUAUCUGGAACAGCCCUGUUAAAACAUAGGAUGACAUUGCUGUAUUUUAUCUUAUUAUUCGUGGACGGCGUGUUUGUUGCAGAAACAGAUGAGACAAUGUCAGUGAUGGAAGGAGAUUCCAUCACGCUACACACUAAUUAUACUGAAAUACAGAACGAUGAUACGAUACUGUGGAUGUUUGGACCUAAAGACUCCCUCAUAUCUCAAAUAACAAGAAAAGGAGAUUUUACCUCAUUUUUUGUCACUGAUGAUGUGGGAUUCAGAGGCAGAUUGCAGGUGGAUCAAAACACUGGCUCUCUCACCAUCAGAAACACCAGAAUCAAACACUCAGGAAAAUAUAAAGUAACCAUCUCUAGUGAAAGCAUCACAACCAAGAAAUUUAACGUUUUUGUAAUUGGUGUUGUUGGUGAGACGGGUGGAGUGAAGUCAGUGUCAGUGAUGGAGGGACAUUCUGUCACUCUACAGGAUUAUAUUCCUGAAGUACAGCAAGAAGAUCUAAUAGUGUGGAGGUUUGGAGAUAAAGGAAUUCUCCUCGGUAAACUUGACAUGGAAACCAAAGAGACCUCAUUGAACGACGCCGAUGAGAGAUUCAAAGGCAGACUGAAGCUGGAUUGGACUGGAUCUCUGACCAUCGAGAACACUCGAAGUGAACACGCAGGACUUUAUGAAGUGCAGAUCAGAGGCCGCGAGAGCUCACAGCAGUUCCUUGUUUCUGUAAAUGCUGUUCCUGAUCCGGGUCAGUCUCCGGGUGCUAUAGCUGGGAUAGCUGCUGCUGUUCUGGUGUUUUUGGCUGCAAUUGUAGCCGCUAUUGUAUUUUACUAUCGCCGCAAGAUCUCUGAACUACAAAUGCAUGUGGUCGAAGAAAAGUCAGUGGCAGACGGAGAUUCUGUUACUCUGAAAACCGAUACUGAACUACAUAAAGAUGAUAAGAUACAGUGGUGCUAUAUAGAAGACAACAAUCUCGUCGCUGAAAUCAGUGGAGCGGCCAGUAAAAGAACAUGUGAUGGUGUUGAUGGGAGAUUCAGAAGCAAACUGGUGCUGAAUAAGAAGACUGGAGAUCUCACCAUCAACAACAUCAUGCUUAAUCACUCCGGACUCUACAAACUCAAGAUCACCAGCAAAAACAAAAUAACAGAAAAGAGAUUCGUUCUUACCGUCGAAAUGAGGACCGUGUCAGCGAUGGUGGGAGAGCAGGUCCAUUUAUCAACAGAGAUUGAAGUACAAAGCGAUGAUCUGGUAUUGUGGACAUUCGGAGCUGAAAACAAUCUCGUAGUUAAAGCUGAUUUAGGAUCGAUUAGCACUGGUGCGAGAUUCAAAGAGAGACUGGAACUGGCCGAGAACACUGGAUCUCUGAUCAUCAGAAACAUCACAAUUGCAGACUCUGGACAUUUUAAACUCCAGGUCAUCAACAGCAAACAGAGCCGAUUCAAGAGAUUCCAUGUGACUGUCACUGAUUCCACAGUAAACAGAAUCAGUGAAUCAAUUGGAUCGAUUGAACUGAAGCCCAUGCUGAAAGGAGAGGAGAAAUAAGUGAAAGAGCGUCAGGGGACAAGUUGAGUCUAAUAAGACACGGCCACCAGUGCCACCAAUACAUUCGCAACAAUCGCACUCAAUAAUAUAUUUCUGCUUUUAUGAUAAGGAGAAAAUAACCUGUAAUAAUGCUGUUUCAUUGAGAAAUGAAUCAUGUUUGAGAACAAAUAUAGGCCAUAGUGAAAUAAUAGUUUAUUUUAUGUACACUGCUUGAGUUGAUAAUGAUUCAGUGACUUUAAUGAAUCGAUGAGUCAAAUAUUUAACUUGCUAAUCUGUAAUAUAGACUCUCAUUUAUCGCCACCUAUUGACAUAGGUUUAUAGAAAUAGUCAUUUUUUUGAAUGACUGUAUUAUUUAUGCCAUUUAUGGUACUACUAUUUUCUCCUGGACACAUUUUAUUUUGGGGCUUUGUGGCAAGUUUUAGCCUAUUGAGUGCAUGACCUAAAAUUCUAAAAUAUAUUUUGAGACUGAAAGAUGUUUUAUUUUUUCAAGUGUAACACUAUUUUCAAAUGCACACAUGUCUUUAGGUCGUAAACUUAUAGAUUUGUAAAUAUAGGAAGAAGGGAAAUUAGAACAAUGACUGUGAUUGACCAUGAAGUUAAGCAAUGCAUAUUAUUAAAAAAAAAAAAAAAAAAAAAAAAAUAUUUAUUUAAAAUAAUUUGUUUAUCAUUAUGGCAUUUUAAUAAAUUUUUACUUAAUUUUAAUUUUUUUGUAUAAAAUAACUUGUCCUUAAGUGUCCAUUCUCUUUUAAGUCAAAUUCGUACAUUUAAUCAGUGAAUUAAAAUACUAAGUUUUUAGAUUUAGAUGCAAUUUACUCACUUUAGAUGUAUUUACUCACUGUUUAAAGACAUUGAUGCAUUUAACCUACAAUUACAUAUUUAUAAAUAAUGUUUUUUUAUAUAUAAUAAACAUAAAACGCUGAAUACUGAUAUUUGAAAUGAAAAGAUACUCUGAAUAUAAAAUUAGAAACCACCAGUAGAUGGCAGCAAGUCACUGUUACAGUUUUUUACGAUCAAUUUUGCACUAAUAACAGAACCAUCCUGACAUUUUUCAUUCAACUAAAACCAAUGGUUCAACAUGACAUAACACCAAAGUGGCCUAUUUACUGUUUACUAUUUACUAUUUACUGUUACAAAAUGCAACAAGAAUUGCAAGAUCUUGCUACAAAAAAAUAGAUAAUUUUAUGAACUUACAAGCAACUGGCAAAAAACAAGCAAAGAUGCUUCGCUUAUUAUAAAUAGAUAUGGCAACAUUGCAAGAGCGAGUAUAGCCUUCAGCAUUCCCAUAGGAAGGGCAUUUAAAAAAAAAAAUUACGGGUUUCAUUUUGUCACACGCGUGUACUCUGUGUUGUUGUUUUUGUCUCUGUGUGCCCUACCUUCCGUUCCUGUUAAUUGUAUCUUUGUCUUCAUCUGUGUCUUUUAAUUUAGUCAAUUACUUUGUAUUUAUUCCCUGUGUGUUUCAGCUCCAUCGAUGUUUUUCUGCCUACCUGCCCGAGGUUCGGCGACAGAAUGAAGCUAAAUCAGACUGGAUCUCUGACCAUCAAGAACAUGAGAACCAAACACUCUGGACUUAAUGAACUACAGAUUGAUGGCAAAAAUGGGACCUCAUAUGAGAAAUUCAGAGUUCAUGUCUACAAGUCUCCAUCUGAAGAUGCUGUUAUUGAUGCCGGUGAAGCUGAAAUGAAGACCAUGUCAGUGAAGGAGGGAGAUCUGGUUGUUCUUCAGACUAAUGUUACUGAAAUAUAUGGUGUGCCUCAGUCAAGUCCUGGCUGAUAUAGAAGAUUGCUAACACUUACUGUUAAUGGGUUUUGGGUAUUAGCUUUUCCGAUUACCAGACAAAACAGAUAUUUUCUGUCAGGAUCUGGUUUCAAGGAUAUGUACAGACAUGGACAAAAUUGUUGGUACCCUUUGGGCAAUGAAGGAAAAACAACGGUCACAGAA